AGAGUUUGAUCCUGGCUCAGGAUGAACGCCGGCGGUGUGCCUAAUACAUGCAAGUCGAACGCGUUGGCCCAAUUGAUUGAUGGUGCUUGCACCUGAUUGAUUUUGGUUGCCAGCGAGUGGCGGACGGGUGAGUAACACGUAGGUAACCUGCCCAGAAGCGGGGGACAACAUUUGGAAACAGAUGCUAAUACCGCAUAACAGCGUUGUUCGCAUGAACAACGCUUAAAAGAUGGCUUCUCGCUAUCACUUCUGGAUGGACCUGCGGUGCAUUAGCUUGUUGGUGGGGUAACGGCCUACCAAGGCGAUGAUGCAUAGCCGAGUUGAGAGACUGAUCGGCCACAAUGGGACUGAGACACGGCCCAUACUCCUACGGGAGGCAGCAGUAGGGAAUCUUCCACAAUGGGCGCAAGCCUGAUGGAGCAACACCGCGUGAGUGAAGAAGGGUUUCGGCUCGUAAAGCUCUGUUGUUAAAGAAGAACACGUAUGAGAGUAACUGUUCAUACGUUGACGGUAUUUAACCAGAAGGUCACGGCUAACUACGUGCCAGCAGCCGCGGUAAUACGUAGGUGGCAAGCGUUAUCCGGAUUUAUUGGGCGUAAAGAGAGUGCAGGCGGUUUUCUAAGUCUGAUGUGAAAGUCUUCGGCUUAACCGGAGAAGUGCAUCGGAAACUGGAUAACUUGAGUGCAGAAGAGGGUAGUGGAACUCCAUGUGUAGCGGUGGAAUGCGUAGAUAUAUGGAAGAACACCAGUGGCGAAGGCGGCUACCUGGUCUGCAACUGACGCUGAGACUCGAAAGCAUGGGUAGCAAACAGGAUUAGAUACCCUGGUAGUCCAUGCCGUAAACGAUGAGUGCUAGGUGUUGGAGGGUUUCCGCCCUUCAGUGCCGGAGCUAACGCAUUAAGCACUCCGCCUGGGGAGUACGACCGCAAGGUUGAAACUCAAAGGAAUUGACGGGGGCCCGCACAAGCGGUGGAGCAUGUGGUUUAAUUCGAAGCUACGCGAAGAACCUUACAGGUCUUGACAUCUUGCGCCAACCCUAGAGAUAGGGCGUUUCCUUCGGGAACGCAAUGACAGGUGGUGCAUGGUCGUCGUCAGCUCGUGUCGUGAGAUGUUGGGUUAAGUCCCGCAACGAGCGCAACCCUUGUUACUAGUUGCCAGCAUUAAGUUGGGCACUCUAGUGAGACUGCCGGUGACAAACCGGAGGAAGGUGGGGACGACGUCAGAUCAUCAUGCCCCUUAUGACCUGGGCUACACACGUGCUACAAUGGACGGUACAACGAGUCGCGAACUCGCGAGGGCAAGCAAAUCUCUUAAAACCGUUCUCAGUUCGGACUGCAGGCUGCAACUCGCCUGCACGAAGUCGGAAUCGCUAGUAAUCGCGGAUCAGCAUGCCGCGGUGAAUACGUUCCCGGGCCUUGUACACACCGCCCGUCACACCAUGAGAGUUUGUAACACCCAAAGUCGGUGGGGUAACCUUUUAGGAGCCAGCCGCCUAAGGUGGGACAGAUGAUUAGGGUGAAGUCGUAACAAGGUAGCC
rnacentral:rRNA from 2 species